UCGAGACACCUAUGCAGAACUUAAACAGAACUUAAUCAAAUAGGAAAAAUAAUCAACACAAUGGCAAUGUCCCUGCUGAUAACCAGAGGGCCUCUUGAAGAAAAUGCAGCUAUGACUGGGGGGAUAAAGGGAAGAAGCACAAACUGACACCAGAGUGCUUGUCUCUGGACCCUGACAAAGCAAUGCUUGCUUCCUUUCAUGCAUAUACAACAGUUCCCUGUAGGAAGGGGCCUGCCACUAUUUCAGUAGCUUUUCCACAUGCCCGGAUUUUUGUCUGUCACUCAUUUGCAAUGUGUAAGCAAUAAAGUUAUCAUGAAAUUCUUAGAUAUAAGAUUAAAAAUGGUGAUGGGAAUGAAGGGUGAUUUAUUAUGUAUGACAUGCAUUUCUGUUUAUGCAUUCAUGAAGGCCAUGUCUGCAAGAUCUGUAAUGCCAGCUUGCACACACUGCACAAAUAUGAAUAAAUGAAUAAUUGUUUUGAUAAUAUUAAACAGCAUGUGUGAUGUAGCAGAGCAACAUCUGUUAUUAGCAGUAUAAACAAAAGGAGUUUUUACUGAUUGCAUGUCAUUCUGCAUACAGGAAUGAUGUAAUAGGGCCAAUUUGGUGACUCUUUGCAGGCAGCAGGAGGGAUUGUGUAGGCCUGCUGUGAAAAACAGGAACAAGAUUAGAGAAACAGUUCUUUCAAAUAUGGAGACAAAAAAAGCUCUAUAAAAAUGCUAAAGGAGGAAAAUAUAAAAUGUAUAUAGAAUUUCUUAAGUUCAUAGAAAUAAUUUGUCCUUUUGAAUGUUAUCAUCUUCCCUUUACUUUUCCUGUCCUGCAGUGAGUUGAAUAGCAGUAACUGAACAACCUGGAUUUUAGAGGAAUCUGGCAACAUUAAAUACUUUUAAAGUACCAUCUCACAUUAUAACCAUCUAGUUAAAAAAUCCUUUAUGCUCACCAGAAACCCAGAAGAAUAAAGCCCAGCACUUCCUGUUUCUAAGUGUAUUAAUAAAUCCUGACUCAAGAAUGAUACUUUAUACUGGGGAUUACACAAAAAAUAGCAAAAAUUAGAAUGUGGUUUUGUUAAUGCAACUAAGCAGAAAUUGUAUCUCAUUGCUGCUUAGACAACCAAUGUCUACCACCAGCAACUGGCUGUAGGUUCCUUCAUCCUCAUUGAUGCCAUUUUUGGCAUGUUUCUGAUUCCAAGAUGAGCUAUUUCAAGAAACUACACCAAGAGAGAAGUCAUCUCUAAGGUUACUUUUCUGAUAGUAAAGAUACCUGAAACACUUUUCAAUGAGGAUGAAUGAAUACAGGAGUAAAUACAAAGGAAGCCAAUAGAGCACAAAGAUGGAGCUACCUGUUCUGGAUACUGCUUAGUACAUGAUGAACUGUAUCAUGAAACUGUACCUUCAGUCCACUAAAGUAACUUAUAACUAGGUAUGUUACAGUGUUUGGCUGGAUGCUUCCUUUUUGCUCUUGCUCCAUUAACCCUCUUUCACUUCCUUUCGUUAACUUUUACAUGAUUACUUAUUUCCAGCUAUUGAAUGGGAACCUACAGGUGUCCCUGGAACAAACUCUGUUCUGAAUUCA